ensembl:lncRNA
GUUUGUGCAAGACGACUACAAAAAGGUUUCAAUAGUAAGCACGGUAAGUCUUAACAUGUUAUGACCAAGAAUUGUGUUUUGGUUCUAGGGGAAGUGUUACGUAUUUGGAUCCAAUUUGCUAGAAGUAGUAGUAAUGACCGCUAAACAAGUCACUACACAGAAUAAUCCAGCGCAUUCCCCAAAGUUUUGUGUUGUUUAAUCAAUUUACUGAGUAGGUGGAGCAAAAAAUUAAGAGCAACCAUAUGUCUGUCUCCUGAUCCAUUUUGGAUCACAUCUCUACUAAAUAUAUGUUUUUUCAAAACACUGAGAUGAUAUAUUUUGGGACACACAAAAAUGGAACAGCCAGAUGAUGAUUUUUCUAAGAUGAACAUGCGUUUUUGUACUUGUUAUUUCUUAGCAACCCAACCAUAUACAACACACUAUACUGCAGGUGUUUCAGUUUUGAUUUACAUCUUUGAUUUGAUCUAACAAAGCAUUUUUUAAAAGAAUAGAGUAAACUUCCAGUUCAAGAAUACUGGUAUCAUUCUAGAUUUGGUUAGGGUUUUUUUUUUUUUUUUCCAGCACUUUUGAAAUGCCACUGUAUUUGAAGGAGUGACUUUUGACUGCAUUGAGAGAUGGACAUGCAAUAACAGUAUCAAAAAGUAUGGGAAGAAAGUAUUAGUAAAUGCAUUAAGAAAGUCAGUAAUCAUUAUUGUUAGCAAUCCUGGUGUUUGAAAAAUGAGGUCUAAGAAGUUGCAAUAGUAAAUAAACCAGCAUGCAUACGGUAGCCAUUCAGUGAGCGUAAACCUAUGCUUGAUUCUUAGAAGAAUUGUGUCUGAUUUCCCAGGACACUCACUGCCAUAUGUAUGUUGCUUUCACUAAUGAGAUAUUUCUAAACCAUGUAAUUUUAACAUUAGAUCUCUAAGGGAUCUUAGGUCAUUCCUGACUCAGAUGGAAGAAUUGUUCCAAGGCAAGAAGGCAAAAAGAGAACAAGUGGAGUGUGUUAAAAGGGGCAAGAGUCAGUGAAGAACCAGAGUUUCCAGGUCUUCUGAGUUCACCAUGAGGAAAAUGUCAGGAAGAGAGAAAAGUGGAUGAAGGAUUUGUUCUGCAGCACUGAAAAAAAGCAGUGCAAGGAUUAAGAUGACUUAAUGCCUGAAGCACACAGUUCUGCUACAAGACAACAGGAACAGUUACUUCUGUGAAGCUCAGUACCAGGGAAUCAAUUGUCAGAAUCUGGUAAAAGAUGGGUCCAAAGCUCAGUUCUGAGCUAGAGAAGACACUUCUCAGUGGUGACUCCUAUGGGAUUACUGCCUUAGGAAUGCUCUGAAUUAUUGGAGACCAGUUAGUUCUUUUGAGGCCACGGAGAAAUUUCUAGAGUUUGAAAGAUUGAUAUCAGAGCUUUCAGAUGUCAAUGUAAUGGACUGACCUUUUUAGAAGUUGAUAUACCAUAGUGACACUGUCUGGCACUUAGAAGGCAGCCUUGAUUCCCAUAUCUGUAACUGAGCCAGAAAUGGAGUGCUGAGAACUUGCAGCAUUUAAACAUGUGGUUCAGAUUCCAGCAUGGACAGUUCUUCCAUAUUUGCUGCUUACUCAUGUAUGCUGACUUUUAAAACACUGUGAUCUGUUCUAGAGGUUGAUGCUGCCACCUACUGGAAGAAUUC